CGCCGGGAACCUAAGCUAGAGCUGCAGGACAUUAUGGCUCCUGCUAGGUCUCAAAGAGGAAAGAUGGACAGAAUGGACAACUGCUUGGGGACAACCCUGUUGUCUUCCGACCUGAACCAAUUCUGACUCCUUAGAACUCUCAGCAUGCAUCAUUGGCCACUGACUCACAGUUGCAGCAGAGACCACUGGUCUCACCGAGUGCACUGAAGACUAAAAAUAUCUAGGAAGUGGCCUCCUGGAGCCCCGUCCUAGGGAGAACAUCUUUAUUGGGCCUGAUG